GCAAGCGGUCCUGCGCACGUCAAGUUGACGCCUACAGCUGCUAAAUAUACAUCCACACACGCUAAUUUAACGCGUUCUUUAAUAUGCAAUUUUACUAGCCAAUUUCCCUAGCUUCUCCUUUCAAACAGAUUUCAGUUUGAAUAACUUCCAUUUUCCACUGCAAACAGAUUUUGAAACUUCACAAGAAGGGAACCAUGAAGAGGAGCUUGGAGUGGGCAAGGGGGAGGCUGAUAAAGCAGCAGAGAAGACCUGAUUCAUCAAGUAUCAAUUUAUUCAGGUGAUUCUCACCUGGUUGGCAUGCACAACACAAGACACUUCAAUCUGACACUCUUGUUAAUGUUUGACGUCAGGCAAAACGUCUUCAGCCAUCGUAGGACGGAGAGCCGCUGGUUGACAUUUGAUUGCUCCAUGAUAUCGAAGCUUCUUACCAUUUCCAUUGCAGCCCAGUCAAUAUCGAUUUUAAAAACCUGGAACAAUAGAUUGUGUAGCACAAUGUACAACUCCAGUUUGCCUAUUGUCACAACAAAUGUCAAUUAUACAUUUUUUGAUAAGUCAGAGUGCAUUUUAUUUUAUAGCUCUGCUUUCAACGCCAUCCUGACCCACAAACUGGUUAGCAGACUCAGGGUUCUGGGUGUAAAUCCUGUAAUAACAAAUUUUGAUUUUUUUACAUUAUCAUAAAAAUGUGUAUCCCCAGAAUGGAGCUGUGGGACCUGACAUAAUGGUGAUACGUCAGUCUCAGCGUAAACAAAACAAAGUAGAUGGUGAUACUUGACCAUUCUCCCAUCUACUGUACAUUGACAUGGAGAUGAUCAGCAGCUUCAAGUUCCUGGGCACCCUGAUAUCCUUUUCGGCCCUCAGUUACUUCACUCAAAGUCCCACUUGUGCUUCUCCACUAAACUUUCUGCACCACGACCUAUGUACCAACUACAGUGUCUUUUGCCAUUACACAUGUAAAUGAAAUGUCCAUAUUUACUGGAAUAUUUAUUUAUGGUAACAUAGUCCCUUGACAUACAUGACUUAACUACUUUGCAUAAUGCUCAGUUUACCCACUAAGAAAUCAUACAUGUAUUAAAAUAUUAAAGCUGCAUUAUCUAUUACUGUGUCCAAUUGAUUCUGGUUGGUUGUAAUGUUUUUGAAAACUUUCACUUACACAACUUUUUUUUGC